rnacentral:rRNA from 1 species
UGUUUCCGUAGGUGACCUGCGGAAGGAUCAUUCACAAACGAGUGUUUUAUGGCACUCUUUAAAAAUCCAUAUCCACCUUGUGUGCAAUGUUUGUUGGGAAAGUCUUUUCUUUCCCUUCAUAAAUAUCAACCUAUAUCUUUAACAACAUUCGUCUGAUAACAUAUUAUGAAUAUACUUAAUUCAAAAUAUAACUUUCAACAACGGAUCUCUUGGCUCUCGCAUCGAUGAAGAACGCAGCGAAAUGCGAUACGUAAUGUGAAUUGCAGAAUUCAGUGAAUCAUCGAAUCUUUGAACGCAUAUUGCGCUCUUUGGUAUUCCGAAGAGCAUGCUUGUUUGAGUAUCAGUAAACACCUCAACCUCUCUUUUUGACAAAAAAAGAGAGGGUGGACUUGAGCUAUCCCAACGACCUUCACCGGUAGGCGGGCGGCUUGAAAUGCAGGUGCAGCUGGACUUUUAUCUGAGCUAAAAGCAUAUCUAUUUAGUCCUCGUCAAACAGGAUUAUUACUUUUGCUGCAGCUAACAUAAAGGAUAAUUGUCCUCUUUGCUGACUGAUGCAGGAUUUUACGACACUUUAUGUGUUGUUCAACUCGAUCUCAAAUCAAGUAAGACUACCCGCUGAACUUAAGCAUAUCAAUAAGCGGAGGAAAAGAAACUAACAAGGAUUCCCCUAGUAACGGCGAGUGAAGCGGGAUGAGCUCAAAUUUGAAAUCUGGCUGGUUUACUAGUCCGAGUUGUAAUUUAAAGAAGCGUUUUCGGUGGCAGCCUGGGUAUAAAUCCUUUGGAAUAGGGUAUCAUAGAGGGUGAGAAUCCCGUCUUUGACCUAGUGCAUGCUACUAUGUGAUACGUUUUCAAAGAGUCGAGUUGUUUGGGAAUGCAGCUCAAAAUGGGUGGUAAAUUUCAUCUAAAGCUAAAUAUUGNCGAGAGACCGAUAGCGAACAAGUA